ensembl:lncRNA
CAGAAAUUCAUUCCUCAUAGUUCUAAAGGCUGGAAGUCCAAGAUCAAGGUGCUGACAAGGUAGGUUUCAUUCUGAGGCCUCUUCUCUUGGCUUGUAGGCAGCUGUGAUCCCAGCAUGUGCUCACAUGACCUCUUGUGGAGAGACACCGGGCGUGUCUCUCUUCAUAAGGACACUAAUCCUAUGACCUCCGUUAACCCUAAUUACUUCCUUAGAGGCCCCAUCUCCAAAUGCAGCCAUACUGGGAGUUAAGGCUUCAAUAUAUGAAUCUUGGGGGAGACACAAACAUUCGGUUUGUAACAGAUUGAUAAAGGAAUGGACAGAUUAGGAUAAAGCAGAAUACAGUAAAAUGUGGGUUGUAGGAUCUAGAAGGUAGGUACUCACUGUAUAAUUAUUUCAACUUUUCUCUGUGUUUGAGGAUUUUCAUAGUAAAAUGUUGGGUCAAAAGAUAGGGAAAGUCACGUGUGGUGAAGUUGAGCAACUUGCCUGAGGUCACACAGCUGAGAAUCGUCACAGCCAGCCUUGGAACUCUGACCUUUCCAGUUGUUGAGCCUGGGUCCUUAAUCAGUCUGUACACUCACCCUCCCUUGCAACUGAUGCACUCACAUUCAUUUCCCCUUUUACGCACACAGAGCUGGUAUAUUUUCAUUUUACAGAUGGGGGAGCUGAAGCCUCAAGAGCUCCAGGACUUGCCCCAGUACGUUUGCCUGGGAGGUAGGAGCACAGUUGAAGCCACUCCUGGCUCAUCUUCCCAGUCAGGGUUCAUUUGUUGCAAGGAUACUGAAAUGCUCUCGUCAUCGCAAGUGAAGAAGAGGAAGACAGUUCUCAUAAGAGUAAGAAGAAUCUCGCUAAUUCUCAUGGGGGGAGAUCAGGGGGACUGCAGAGACCCUGGAAUGUCUCCUGAUGGCCUCCAGGGACUCUCCCCUCCACAUAUUCUUGCCCUGGUGGGGGGCCUCCCACCCCAAAUAGGCCUGACUUGUGUGUAACUGAUAGGAUUGCAGAAACAAUGGUGUGUGGCUUCUGAAGCUAGGUCACAAAAGACACUGUGGCUGCCACCUUGCUCCCUUCUGGGUCACUCACUCCGGGGGAAGCCAGCAGCCAUCUCUGAGGUCCAGGUGGGGCAGAACAGAGGCCUCCCGCCCACAGCCAGCACGGUUUCCCACCCAGGAGAGCAAGCCUCCUUCCAAAUGGAUCCUCCAGCCCUCAUCAACCCUCUCUUUUCUCUGCCAUGCCUUUCUCUGUUCCCUUGCUUUCUGUGGCCAAACGCUCUGUGGUCUAUGCCAUUUUCCCACUUCUCUCUGCAGAUGGACUUUCUGGCUUACUUUUUUUUUUUUUUUUUUUUUUAAGAUUUAUUUAUUUAUUUUACAGAGAGAGCGAGCGAGCACACAGUGGGGAGGACAGAGAGUCCACGCUGAGGAUGGAGCCCGAGAUCAUGACCUGAGCUGACACCAAGAGUGGGACACUCAAGAGACUGCACCGCCCAGGAGCCCCUGAGCAUUUUAAUAUGCAAAUGGUAAAAAUGGGUUGCCAGCUGUCGGUCUGCACAGGAAGUUGGCCAACCUUUUCUAUAAAGGGCCAGGUAGUAAAGACCUGAGGCUUUGCAGGCCCUAUGCCUUCUUUUUUUAAUUUUCUUUAGAUUUUAUUUAUUUGAAAGAGAGAGCACAAGUGAGGCGAGGGGCAGAGGGAAAAGCAGACUCCCCGCUGAGCAGGGAGCCCGAUGCUGGGUUCGAUCCCAGGACCCUGAGAUCGUGACCUAAGCCGAAGGCAGACUCUUAAUGGCUGAGCCCCCCAGGAGCCCCCCCCCCCCGGCAAAUUNNNNNNNNNNNNNNNNNNNNNNNNNNNNNNNNNAGUUCUGUCCAAACAGCAGUGAGACUAUACAGGCUAAGGAAGGGGCAGGGGCAGGUUUUGCAAGGAAGGAAUGUGACUGGUCAGGAGCUGACACACAUCGUUAGCACAGUCAGUUAGUUCAUUUGUGGUAAUUGACCAUCUACAUUGAACCGAGCAUUUUGAUAGAAUCUGGGAAUAUAAAGAUGACUGAUACAUGAUUCCCAAUAAAAACUAUUAUGUGUCUUAUGCUUAGAUGUGC